UCCUGACGGUAGUCGUAUGCUCGUCUCCGAGACUAAGCCAUGCAAGUCCAAGUACACGUCCUUGAACGACGGAAACUGCGAACGGCUCAUUAAAUCAGUUGCGAUCUACUCGGCGUUCCGCGCCGCCGGAUAACCGUAGUAAUUCUAGGGCUAAUACGUGCGAAGCGCCCGAAGCCGCGAGGCGACGGGCGUUCUCGCCGGAUGUAGGAACCGACCCGGGGACCGCCGGGGCAACCCCGGCGCCCCCGAGACGGGGCGAACCACGGUGAAAUGACGGAUCGUCGGCCCCGCGCCGGCGACUCGCCGAAUGAGUUUCUGACCUAUCAACUCGAGACGGCGGGGUAGAGGCCCGCCGCGGUAACGACGGGUAACGGGGAAUCAGGGUUCGAUUCCGGAGAGGGAGCCCGAGAAACGGCUACCACUUCCAAGGAAGGCAGCAGGCGCGCAACUUA
rnacentral:rRNA from 1 species